rnacentral:rRNA from 1 species
ACKGCUCAGUAACACGUAGCUAACCUAACCCCGGGACGGGUAUACCCCCGGGAAACUGGGGACAAUGCCCGAUAGGCGUGGGCUCCUGGAAUGGUUCCACGCCCAAACGUUAGCUCGCCCAUGUCGCGAGCACACGCCCGAGGAUGGGGCUGCGGCCGAUCAGGCUGUUGGUGAGGUAACGGCUCACCAAACCGUUGACCGGUACGGGCCGUGAGAGCGGUAGCCCGGAGAUGGACACUGAGACAAGGGCCCAGGCCCUACGGGGCGCAGCAGGGGCGAAACCUCCACAAUGCACGAAAGUGUGAUGGGGUUACCUCGAGUGCCGCCUGAAAAAGGCGGCUUUUCCAUGGUGUAAUGCGCCGUGGGAAUAAGGGGGGGGCAAGACUGGUGUCAGCCGCCGCGGUAAUACCAGCUCUCCGAGUGGUGGGGACGUUUAUUGGGCCUGAAGCAUCCGUAGCCAGCUGAGCAAGUCCCCAGUUAAAUCCAGCGAUUUAAUCGUUGGACUGCUGGGGAUACUGUCCGGCUAGGGGGUGGGAGAGGCCGACGGUAUUCCCGGGGUAGGGGUGAAAUCCUAUAAUCCCGGGAGGACCACCAGUGGCGAAGGCUGUUGGCUAGAACAUGCCCGACGGUGAGGGAUGAAAGCUGGGGGAGCGAACCGGAUUAGAUACCCGGGUAGUCCCAGCUGUAAACGAUGCAGGCUAGGUGUUAGGGCGGCCACGUGCCGCUCUAGUGCCGCAGGGAAACUGUUAAGCCUGCCGCCUGGGGAGUACGGCCGCAAGGCUGAAACUUAAAGGAAUUGGCGGGGGAGCAC